ACCAGUGUGGUAUAGUGGUUUGUGGAUUGGACUAUGACUCUGGAGACCAGGGUUCGAUUCCCCGUUCAGCCA